rnacentral:rRNA from 1 species
GAUGAACGCUAGCGGCGGGCCUAAUACAUGCAAGUCGAGGGGUAGAAGAGGCUUGCUUCUUUGAGACCGGCGCACGGGUGCGUAACGCGUAUGCAACCUACCUUCAUCUGGGGGAUAGCCCGGAGAAAUCCGGAUUAAUACCGCAUAAAAUCACAGGAUGGCAUUAUCCAAUGAUCAAACAUUUAUUGGAUGGAGAUGGGCAUGCGUGUCAUUAGCUAGUUGGCGGGGUAACGGCCCACCAAGGCGACGAUGACUAGGGGAUCUGAGAGGAUGGCCCCCCACACUGGUACUGAGACACGGACCAGACUCCUACGGGAGGCAGCAGUAAGGAAUAUUGGUCAAUGGAGGCAACUCUGAACCAGCCAUGCCGCGUGCAGGAAGACUGCCCUAUGGGUUGUAAACUGCUUUUAUUCGGGAAUAAACCUUAUUACGUGUAAUAAGCUGAAUGUACCGAAGGAAUAAGCACCGGCUAACUCUGUGCCAGCCGCCGCUGUAA